GGCACCGGGUGAGGAAGCAUGGGGCUGUUGAAUGCAGCGAGGCGAGAGGGGACACAGGCGGGACGGCAUCUCACACCCACACUGACGUCCAUCUCCCCGUGCAGCCGCGGGGGGAGGGGCUCUCCAGCCUUCCAUGUCCCAGACGGACCUCUUCUCACAGGAUCUUUAAGAUACCUACAGUUUCAAAAGUGCUUUAUUUGAAGUCUCCAGGAUAUUUGUCUAAGUGUUCCUCAUUCAGUUUUAUCCAUAAGUGAUCACUAAAUAACGGCUGGGCGAUCUCCUGACAGACCGUGAGCACGACUGCAGGGGCCACCCCAUGGGCGAGCACAGGUGUGCUGGGUGCGCCCGGGUCUCCCCAGCUCAGGGCUGCGCAGCCUUCUCACCAGUCUCGGAAGCCGGUCCGAUCUCUUCCCUGGGGUGGUGGGGGUGUCAUCGAGGCAGCUCAUUCCGUUCAGCACACCCUCCCCCUGCACCUGUGUUAACCCACCUUUCAUUAAAAGGUUUUCUUCC